rnacentral:rRNA from 1 species
UACGUAGGUGGCAAGCGUUGUCCGGAUUUACUGGGCGUAAAGGGCGUGCAGGCGGUUUGUUAAGUGCAGGGUGAAAGCUCCCGGCUCAACUGGGAGAGGUCCUUGCAUACUGGCAAACUCGAGUUCGGGAGAGGAUGGCGGAAUUCCCAGUGUAGAGGUGAAAUUCGUAGAUAUUGGGAAGAACACCGGUGGCGAAGGCGGCCAUCUGGACCGAGACUGACGCUGAGGCGCGAAAGCGUGGGGAGCAAACAGG